UUGGUGACCAGCGGAGGGUC
rnacentral:rRNA from 1 species